rnacentral:rRNA from 1 species
UACGGAGGAUCCAAGCGUUAUCCGGAUUUAUUGGGUUUAAAGGGCGCGUAGGUGGUUUUUUAAGUCAGGGGUGAAAGACGGCGGCUUAACUGUCGCAGUGCCUUUGAUACUGAAGAACUUGAAUUAACUAGAGGUAGGCGGAAUGUGACAAGUAGCGGUGAAAUGCAUAGAUAUGUCACAGAACACCAAUUGCGAAGGCAGCUUACUAUGGUUGGAUUGACACUGGGGCACGAAAGCGUGGGGAUCAAACAGG